rnacentral:lncRNA from 1 species
UACCUGAUUCAGCUCACCUAAUCAAGCUUUAUACAUUAGGUCUAAUUUUAGUUGUGCAUCUGCGGACAUAUUCCUGAUUUUGCUAAUGCCAACAACAUUUUCAUUUGUUCAAUUCGGAAUUGAUGUUCCAAAGUUUCAGCUACCAUUCCUGAAAGCUACUUAAACUCUAAUCUAUCAAUGAGUGGCCUUCACCAGUUUUCAUCAUCAAAAUUAUCUAAAAUUUUAAACGUGGUCCACUUAACUUCUCUUGGAAGUGCUAACCUCUUUCCAUUAACAAUUCUGAAGCCAAUUGCAUUCUUUCUAACUCUUACAUGAACAUGAAAAACCCUGCUACCUUCUUUUUUUGUUAAGACAACUUUCACUAAUAACUGACAACACUCACAAAAGCAAACAAAGGACAAAGACAUUUCAGAACCAAUAUGUAGAAUUAAAGCAGUAGCACAAGUCAACCAAAACUCGAACACCAAGUAAGAACAGACAGCGCCAGGACAUGGAAAUACCAAUGAUCGCACAGAGAACUCAAUAAAACAGAACAAAUAUCACCAUCAAGCCAAGAAAAUACUUCCCUUCAAAUGCCAACCUUACCUAAUACAUUGGCUAUCUCAUUUCCCUCAAAAAAUUUGACCAGCUGACUGCUCCAAUUAAUGAACCCAAUAAUUUCAAGGCAUAUGGCCACUUCCACGUUCAUUCCUUAGAAUCCAUCCUCUUAAAUACAAUCAGCAUCCCUCAAAAUUCCAACAAAUUCUCAUUUAUUACCCUUAGCAAGACCGCUAGUGAAAAUAAAUUAAACAAAAAUAAAAAACACAGCCCUUUAUAUAGACAGCUCUUAAGACAAACAAAAGAACCUCUACUCUCUCAUUCUAACUUAGAAUGUGCCACCCCACAAGUCUCCAUGCAGUACUUUAGGCCAAUAGCGGGCUACUUGUCAAAAUGCACAAGGAUGACGUAUCUUCUCCAACUUAUAAGGGCAGGAGGUGUUUGCAUUUCUAUCCAUUUUAAGAUAAAAAUGGAAAAGGUCAAAAGUAGUGCCUUUUGAAUUGUUAAAAGCCAGACCAAGUUCCAGGUCACGACCAGAAUUUGGUCGAGGGAAAUUUGUUUUAAGAAACAAAUAGAAAAAAUAUAUAUAAAAAAAGCAUCACCUGUUGCAAGAAUCAAGCCAUAGUUCAAGAAGGAAAAAAAAGGCCUGAUUUCUAAAAGAUCUUUCCAGCGUACAAAUAAGCAAUGACAGAAUGCGCGGAAUUUAAAAUCAGAAGUAAAAAGAAAAAAGAUCAGCACCUUAUCAUCUUCAUACACCACGGUAGCUGGGAUUUCCCUGUUGAUGAUUUUGUCAAAUCUGAAAAAAAAAAGUAAAUGAGAAGGAAUGAUCCCGGUAAUUCACAUCGAAGUGAAAAGGGAAGGAACAUUUACUGUCAAGAAUUAUUCUAAAAAAAAGAAUUUUUUUUUCUAAAAGAAGAAAUUGAUGAAUAGAAGGAGAAGGAGAAACAUAGGGCUGGGCUGACAUUGUAGGAGAAUCGGAGGGAGCAGCAGCAAGGGCAGCUUCUUUCUCCGAAGCCAUGAGGGAAGAACACGAACACGAACACGAACAAUCCCAACUAUUUUAAAGGAAAUAUACCCAAUCCUUACUAAUGAAUGCAAGCACCUACCAGUAUGAAAAAGAAAACAUAUAUGCAUACAAGAAUCUUCACAAUCUCCACCAUAUAUGAUCAUGAAACCCAAAUCGAAAAAAAACCUUUGCAAUUAGCAAAUCGGUUGAAAAUCUCCAAUUCUUCAAUUACUAUCUAUAUUAUCAAGCAUCCCAAUUAGAUUAUUAAUAUUUUUUAAAACUAAAGUAAGGAUUUUUUGAGAAAACUAAGAAACUGAAUGUCCCAGUCUGGAAUCCUAUAUGCCGGUUUUGAUCGUUUAGUGAGUACUUCGCAUUUCUAUAAAAAAUGCAAAACUAUUGAAAUGAUUAUAUAUGCAUUAUUUAAAUUUCUACAAAACAAUUAAUUAAAAUAUUUCUAAAAAUAGUCUUAUAAAUAUUAAAUUGGAUCCGACCUGGUUUAUCAUUUAAUAUAAAGGAGUUAAUAUAAAGAACGUUUCGGUGAUUGAAAACUUUAUUGAAAAAACAAUAAUUAAAUCCUAAUAAUAUUUGUUCAUGUAUCUGUCAUUUUUUUUAAACACCUACUUUUUUUUAAUUUACCAACUGAUAUAGCAUAAAACAACCACAAAGUAAUUCACAGACCACUUCAAUAAAUUUCAAACACAUAGUAAAAACAAAAAAACACAAGUAAAAAAGCAUAAAUCUUAAAUUAAAACAGAGAAAACCGAAGACAAUGUUGAAGCAAGGAUUCAUACCAGAAAUCAGCCUCCGAUGAAGCAGGGGUUACAAAAAUCGCAACAAAGAAACGGCAGAGAAAUAAACCCACUGAAAUAUAAGUAAAAAAAACAUUGAUCUGAAACCAAAACAGAAAUGACAAGGCAAAGACAGACAAAGACAAAGUUCAAGAUUCAUACCUCAAAAUCAGUCUCCGAUGAAGCAGGGGAUUUCAAAAACCACAAAAAACAGAGUGUAGCGUCUAUGUUUUGGCCUUCGGUUACCCAAAGCUAAAAAAAAUGAGAGGAAAAAAUUUCAAAAGAGACCGAGAGAGAGAAUCGGUAAAGAAAUGGGAGGAGAUUUGGAUUGAAGAGAAUAUUAAGGAUUUAUUAUGAAAGCAGAAGAAAUGAGGAAGAAAAAGAAAACAAAACAGGGAGACCGAGAAAGAGAGAGAGAGAGAUAGAGAAAUGGCUAAUAAAUGGGUUUAUUAAGUGUUGUACUUUAAGUGUGGGAUGAGAUUUCAAUUUGGGUUUUUAUUUGAGUUUCGGUUUUGGUUUGAGGUUUCAAUUUCGAUUUUAGAUUGUAUUAUUGAUUGAAAAAUUAUUGCGGAAUUAUGACUCAUCAUUUUAAUUUUUUAAAAUUUUUUUCUUAGCUUAUGUCGGCUUAUCACUUAGAAUUCUUUACAUAAAUGUUACUAAAUUAUUUUUAGAAUCUAUGUAUUCAUCUGUUCCAGGUAAAUAAUUUCAGAUAAAUAAUUAAUAGAUUCAUAUAUCCUAAUUAAACUAUUAGGAAUUUUCAAAAUUCAUCCAUUUUAGUCAAAUUGAUGGGAUACAAAAUUCAAUUACAACACAUUAUUCAUUAGGCUCAUAUCAUAACAUAGCUUAAAUUCAAUUUUAUAUUAGCAGCUAUAACUAUAAAAUGUAGACAUUUGAUUCAACAAUAGAAAUACAAUACAGUAGAAUACAAAAUGAAAUAUUAGCCAAACCAAAAACAAUAAACAAACAAAAUAGAAAAGACAAGACUCCCUUCCUGUAUAUGGAUGGCUAUAUCGUGGUAUAAUUAGAAAAAUGAAUCAUCAAUCUGUGCAAGGUUUUUGGAUAAAACUUUCUUGCGAAUAAAUAACAAGGUCUAUUCAUUGAAUUCUACAAGCAUGGCCCACUUAUCCCUUUCCUCUGCACCAACAAACAACACAUCUAUUUGUUCCUUUUUUCUUCCAAACAAACAUGCAUAAAAUCACAAAUUCAAAACAAAAAAUGGUUAAAAAAUAUUAUGAUACAUAUUAAAUUGGAUAAAACCUAAUUUAUCAUUUAGAAUGGUUAAAAAAUAUAAUUAAUUAUUAAAAUAUAUCUAAUAAUAAAUUUAAUCUUUAAUAUUUAUAUUUUCUUAAAUUGAUUCUUAUUUAUUUUCUAAGGAGAGAAAAAACAGGAAAGAAAGUUUGAAAACGGGAAAAGAGAAAACAAUAAAGGCGAAAGAAACCUGAAAAUGUUUUCAUUUGUAAUCUUUAUGACAAAACCAAUAAAAGAAAGUGUCAUUUUCUCUCUUCAUUCAUUAUUUUUUCAUGUGUCUGUCACUUUUUUAGAUUCAUAUCUUUUUUAUUUUGAUUAUUUUCUUUUCUUUUUUGUUUCAGUUUUUCCAGGCCUUUGAUUUCCAUUGGGCCUUUAUCGUUUUUGGGUCUUUAUUUUACUCCGCUUGGUUUCAUGUGUUUUUGCAUUUUAAUAAUAGCCUAAUACUUUUCUUUAAAAAAAAAAACCUAAACCAACCUCGGGAUAUCCUUAGAAUGGGAUAACCCCAAACCGGAUACCCCUGGAAUAAGAUAUCUCAGACCGGCAUAACCUAAGAAUAGGAUAUCCCUCCUUGGAAUAAUAGCGACAGGUUGUCCGGUCCAUACAUACAAAAAAUCUGAACCGGCCACUAAAACAACUGAACCGGACUGCAAAAACACUGAACCGAAACGAGAUAUGAAGGGGAUAUCCCCUGAAUAGCUUAAUCGAUAUAGGGAUAUUCCUCGGUUAUCCCUCCAACAGAAUAAAGUAGAAAGUUAAAUAUGUACACAAUAUAUUCUAACUGGCGUCUUCUUAUCCCCUCAGAAAAUAUUACUUCUUAUUUCCAUUAACAAUAGAAAAUUAUUGAAAUAAUUAUAUAUGCAUUACACAAAUUGCUGCAAAACAAUUAAUUAAAAUACUUCCAAUAAUAUUUUUAUAAAUGUUAAAUAGAAUCGUUCCUGAUUUAUCAGUUAAUAUAAAGUACAUGAACAACUUUUCAUUAUUGUAAACUUUAUUGAAAAAACAAUAAUUAAAAGAAAUGUUUUCUUAUUAUUUGGUCAUGUAUCUGUUUUUUUUUUUACACAAGAGAACACUACUUUAAAUAUACAGAACCGAAAAAAUCCAGCGAAUGAUAAUCAAAAAAAUAAAAAGCCGAACCGGGAUAUUCCGAAAAUGGAAUACACCCAAUCCGGGAUACACCUGAAUGGGAUACCACAAAGCCAAAAUAUCACUGGAAUAGGAUAUCCCUAAGAGGAAUAAGUAUGACAGGUAGCCCGGUCCAGAGAAGAAAAAAAUCUGAACCGGCCACUAAAACACUUAAUCUGAGAAGGAAUAGUCUCGGAAUAUGACAGGGAUAAAUCCGGAGAGGAAUAGGACAGAAAAUUAACUACAGCACGACAGUUAAAAUUCUGUCAUGAAGUCCAAAUAAAAUUAGAUUGAUGGCAACGGUAACAUUUAUGGUAAUUAAAACAUUACUAGUGUUUUAGAAGGAAAAAGGUAAGGGGAAAUCAAAGAGAAUAGGAACUUUAAACCUUGUCUAACAAGAGUGCUAAAAAUGAUGAAGCCUUAAUUUCUUCAAAAAAUCAAAUGAAAGCAGUGAAACAAGACAAUUCGAAGCUUCUAUCAAGGUAUCAACUAAAAGACAUGAACUUUUUCAACAUUUCAGUAAGAGAACAAAAUUUUCGAAAUAAAUAACAAUUAAGUAUACUGUUUGGCUUCCGGGAAAAUGAAGGAUGAAAAGAAUUUGUCAACUCACAGGUGAAUCAGUAAUUAUCUAAAAAACCGAAGACUAACGUCAAGUUUAAAACAAAUUUCCCUCAAUUUUCUUCAAUCAGAAACCAAACAGAAUAAUAAGAUGUGAAGAAAAAACAAGAUGUUUAAAAGAAUCAAAAUUUAUACCUAAAAUGAUAGAAUAGCACUACGUCGACUCUUUCAUUGGGAAGAAGCUUCCACUGAUUCAUGAAUUCAAUCCUUUUCUUUUCCUUUUUAGCAUAACAAUAUUAUAAUAUUUUAUUUUAUUUUUACCGGAAAGAUAAAAUAUUUAGAGGGGUCGGGUCAAUUAGUUUUAUAUAUAUUUAAUAGAUAAUAAAACCUAGACAUUGGUAAAAAACUAUUAUUGUUAAAAAAACGAAAUCCCUGAAAAAAACACAAUGAAAAUAUUAGUAAAAAUAAACAUUUAUCUGCAACUAAAAACAGAGAUAAUGAGGAAAGAGAUAGUUUAAUUAUAUUCAUACCUGAAAUCAAUCUCCGAUGAUGUGGGGGGUUUCAAAAAUUACAAAAAGAAAUGAAAAGAAACAGCAAAAAACAAAAAACAGAAUUUGGUUACCCGAAGCUAAAAAAUUUUAAGGAAAUAAUUGAAAGCAUAUUGAGAGAGAAAGAGAGAGAGAGAGGAAGAAUGAACGGGAGAGCUAUAGAUUGAAGAAACACAGGAAAAGAGGCUGAGAGAAGAAAAAACAAGAGAGAAGGAAAAUAUUUGUAAAGAAGGGAAAAAAAGUAGCUAAAAAGGGAGAAAGGAACAUUAUAAAUAUAGGAAAAAUAGGACAGAAUAUGGGAAUAAGCUGGUCAUUUACUGCCGACUGGUUAGUUUCAUUUAUUGUAAUAUUUAUGAAAAAAACGAAAAGAGAAAAUUCCUAGUACAAUUUCAGAUUUUUUGCUUCACAUUUAAGUAAUUGACAGACUUUUUUUACUGCUGAUUUCUAAACCUGAAAACCAAAAGCCAUAAAAUAAACCAAGAAAUACCAGUACAAUAGCAUAGUUCUUAAAUUAAAAGAGAAACGUAAAAGACAAUGUUGAAGCAAAGAUUCAUACCUGAUGAAGCAAGGGAAUCCAAAAAUCCCAAAAACAGAAACGGCAGAGAAAAUCACAGUAUAGUGUGUCUUUGAAUUCUUUCGGGCGUCGGCUACAAAAAAGCUAAUAAUAUAAGAAGUAAAAUUUGAAAUGAGACAAACAUAAUAAAGGAGAGAAUAAAGGGGGAAGAAAUGUUAGAAAAAAAGGAAAAUGAGGAGAGAAUAAGCUAUGAAAACAUGCCCAUUAUCACAAACCACAGGAACUAAACAGAAAAACUCGAACAAAAGCAGACUGAAAAACAAGAAAAGAAGCAUUGAUCUGAGAAUUAAAAUAGAGAUAAAAAGGUAGAAAUAUACAAGAAAAGGAAAAUACACAGUUAACGUAAAUAUUCAUACCUGAAAUGACUCUCCCAUGAAGCAGGGAAUUUCAACAUCACAACAAACAGAACCGGCAGAGAAAAACUUAUGGGUUUCUCCCUCUCACGAAAACUAUCUUCCUACUGUUGAUUGUUUGUGUGUGUGUUUUGCCCGUGGAUACACAAAGCUAUAAAAGAAUGACAGGAAAAAAUUGAAAUGAGACCAAAAGAAAAUCCACGAAGUACGAGAAGGGAGGAAGAGAGAAUAAUGAAAACAAAAAAGAAAGAAGGAAUGUAUGGAAUGAAGCAUGAUUUGAGUAUUUAAAAUUUGGGAAGGAAGUGGUAUGUGAAAAGGCUAAAGAAAACGGGCAGCGGGGCAGUCAAUGCCCAAAAAAUAAAGAUUCUUGAAAUCUUCCGCAACGGUAACAUAAUACUAUUUAAUACACUCAUUUAAUGAAGAAGCAGCUGAGCAGUUCACAUAUCUAAUUAAUCCAUUCAAAAAUUCAAGAGAAACUAAAUAAGAACAAAAACAAAAUACAAAAGUAAAGGAGACUGACACAGUUCAAGGAAGCAUAGAAAUCCAACCCAAGUUACUUCUUCAUUGGGCUUAAUCAGUUUUGAAUUAUUAAUUUGUUAUUUUUUUAAUUAAUUGAAGUUGUCAUUUUAUUAUUUAAUCUUUACAUCUGCCGUGGAUGAUUGACUGCAAAGAGAUCAUCCAUCCUAUGGCAAAUUUUAAGUCACAGCUUAGAUACUAAUGAAGAGUUCUCACUGAAAACUUGUGACAAGCACAGUGUACAAUUUGAUACCUGGCAACUCAAUAUCCCUAUGCUACUCCAAAAUAGUUAAAACUAUUUUAAACCAACCAAAAGCAUAAAUUACAAACAAAUCACUUUCUGAAUCCUUAAAAGACAGAAAACACAUCCAAUUGAAUACAUAGAUGAUGUUGGACUAAUAUGGAAUUUCUGUACCAGAAUUUACUCCCUAAAACGAAAAUAUUUACCACAUAUCCCAAAGUUCUCUUAAGAAUAAACUAUCACCUAGAAUUCCAGGGAGCCCCAAAUUCAUUAAAAUACAUGUAUGUAUCUAAAUAGGAAAAGAAUGUAAGAUGAAUGAUUUAAUCAAUAGUUAAGGUAGAAAAUUGAGAAAAAAAGACUUACCCAGAAGUACUUCUGAAUUAGAUAGCAAUAUUUUCCAGAUAUGAAGAAGAAAAGAGCAUGGAAGCAGCUAAAAACCCUGGAUUUUAUUAAACUUCCAUUGUUAACCAAAUAGGGUGUUGAAUAUUUGAUUAUAGUGCUAUUAAACUACACUGUGGUCCAUGAGACACUGAACUAAAUGUGAAUUUCCGUUUUAAUCUUUAAACUAUGAAAAAUUACAAUUUAGUCAUCCAACUGUUUGAGAUUAUAUAUUUUAUUCACCCGAUGACAUGGCUUUUCUAAUUGGUAUAUAUAUCAUGUCAAUUUGCCUUUAAUUCUAAAAUAUUUAACCCUCAACAUUUAUACAAUAUGACAAUUUAGCCUUAAUUUUAAAUUUUUGAAAAAUUAUAAAAAAAUUAUAAUAAAUUAAAAUACUACAUAAACUAUUUCAUUUUAUAUUAAUUGUAUAAUAUGAAUUAAAUAAUAUUAUAACUGGUAUAUAUAUCAUAUCAAUUUGCCUUUAUAAUUCUAUCUUUAACCAAAAUCCAAGUAAUUCACCACAUGGAUAUAUCAAUAAUCACGCAAAACUUCCCAUUCAGCUGAUAUACAGAGAUACCAUGGGUUACAAUAUAUAUGUGCUUGUUCCUUCUUAUUUAUGCUAAAAAUGAUAUGGUAGUAAAUGCAUACUGUUGUAUGAAGACAAGGACAGACAGGUGGUCUAAUACUAUCCCACUAAUCUGAGAAAAGAGGAACAAACCUUACAAGCCUCUAUAUUCUGCCAACUAGAAACAUUAUACCGAUUAGGCAGAACCUGCAGCACAAACUUGCCAGCAUUCAUAAUUUGUUUGUGAAGGCCUUGUUCGCUGUUAGCCUUUCAGUAGAUAAAUUAAGAUCCUAGAGAUUAUUCAAGGAAACUGACUAAUUAAACAUACUAUCAUAAGCUAGAACCAUGGACAUUAGAACGGUAGUGAACAUUAUAUGACACAACUUUUCAUUAUUGAAUUACCAACAUGUUGCCUGUAGUACAAGACAAACCUGACCAGAAGUUCCCAAAGCAAGAGUGAAUCGCAAGGCAUCAGUGCCAAACACCUUGAUAGUAUCAAGUGGAUCAAUAACAUUGCCAAGAGUUUUAGACAUUUUACGCCCCUGAAACAACUUACAUGUUAGGCAUAUAUUUUCUUGAGUCUUGGGAGCAAUGGAACUAGUGUCAUGUUAUUUCGAAAAGGAACUCUAAUGACAAAAGUAUAGAUGCAGAUGAAGGGGAACACAACUCAAGAAAAAAAUUUGUACUUUAAAAUGGGCACCUAAAUUGUAGCCUGAUUCAGACACUCUACUUACUUGUGAAUCACGGAUUAGACCAUGAAGAUAUACAUAUGAAAAUGGAACAGUUCCUGUGAAUUCGAUUCCCAUCAUGACCAUUCUUGCAACCCAAAAGAACAAUAUAUCAUGGCUGUCCAAAGAGAAAAAGUGUUAAGGCCAACAGUUAAAACAUAGAAAAGUAGAUCAAAUGGAAUUUCUUAAGACCAAGUAUGCUAUAAUGCCCUCUAAUUUGUUAUUGAAUAAUAAUAGAAGCACUCUCUUAUGGAAAAGAAUAGGGCACCUCAUCUAAGCAAUAGGAGUUAAACAAAGCGGCUCAUACCCAGUUUCAAGCAUUGUUGUCUGAUAAAACCUUUUAAAAUCCUCUGCCAACAAAUCUGGCCAACCAAGGGUACUGAAAGGCCAUAAUGCACUGAAAGAGGGCAAGCAGCAAAACAUAUAGCAUUUAUCACACAAAGAAAGAUUGAUGUGUGCAUGACAGGUUUCAUUUCCAGAGAAUGGGAGAACCAUAUCAAAACCUUUAAAACUCAAGUUGAAGAAGAUGGCUGAAAAAAGCAACUUACGCCAUUUUCUACCAGUUAUUGCAUUACUCAAAAAGCCCAGCAAAUCAACUCAUUUAUCACAAUAAAGUGCUUUCAGCCACUUCACACAAAAAUGUUUCAAAUAAUCAACAUGGUUGCCUCAAUACUUUUUGCACCAGAGUUAGAUAUCAAACAUAUUUGGACUCAACCUUGGACCUCUCAGAAAACCAUCAGAACUUUCCUACCAGGUACUAACAGGUCAGGAUGUAAGUGAAACUUCAACUUAGGAAGGUUGAAGUGACAGGAAAUCCUACCGCUUACAGAGAAUUUUUUUUCCUUUUAUAAUUAUGCAAGAAAGUUAAGUGAUGACAAUAAUACAAUAGCUUCAUUUGGAUGACAAUUUCAAAAUAUUACUUGCUUUAUUCUAUGUGAUCUCAAAGACUCAAAACAUGAUUUAUCCUUUUUCAUUUCGGACAUGUCAUCAGAUUUUUUGGAAUAGUUCUUCAUAUCUAAUCAAUAACUUACAUACAGGAAGAAGAAAAAAACAGGUGCACUUAUUUGAUUGAUAGUUUGAAAAUACUGCAUCAUCUAAACACUGUUAUUACAUUAGUUAAAGAUUACAAUACAAAUACCACCUCAGGUUUAUUUGAAGAUCCUUUAUUUACUUGAAAAGGUGAUAACAGAAAUAAACUAUUAUGGCCCCCAGUCUGGGUUUGAGGCACCAGAUGAGUAGCACAAGAAUUCAAUCCGAAGAAAGGGUCUUUUCCCUUAUUUUGAUUCAUAUGGUUGAGGAACUCUAAAGGAGUUGCCUACUUUUGAUUUGCUGAAACAUUCAACUUAUUUUAUUCAUGAAUAAUUUUUCUCUCAUAAAGAGGUUUAUAAUUUAGGAAAUAAGAUGCAAAACCCUACUUUCUUAUUCUAAUACGGAAAAUAAAAAUAUGGUAUCAGAAUAUCCUAAUUUAUCAGGAAAGUUUUAUUUAAACUAAUAAGGAAAUUUUAGGAAAUAAAAAUUAGAACCAAAUCCCAACAAAAUCAGUAUCCUAAUCAGAUCCCCUAACAUAAACACGACAUAAUAAGAAAAUAAAACCAAAGGGACAUCAAAAAUAGAAUUGACAAAGACUGGUUGUGAACUCUAGCUUGUAAUAUAAUAUCAUCCCAUCCAAUCAGUUAGAGAAGAAAGCUAAUUAUGUACCAAAAAAGAGGGAGAAACUCUAGGUAAAGAAUGACUUUCCAUCCUAAAAUGAUGAUAUCAUAUCAUAGUUAAGGAAUUUAAAAUUGAAUAACCAACCUUGAGAACCAAGUGUCAAGAACAUCUGGAUCCUGAUAAACUUCUACGUCUUUUCCGUAUUUAUCACGAGCCUUCAUAAGAGCUUCCUCAGCACUCCUGGCAACUAUGUACUCCUCUUCACAGUCUUUUCCAACAAUGUACCGAACAUGUAUGCAGUGUCCCCACCACAGCUGUCUGCUUAUGCACCAAUCCUUGAUAUUUGUCAGCCAAUGAUUAUAAAUCUGUAAUCAAAAUAAGCAGAAGUGAGCAAAGGCAGAAACUAGCCAACAGAAGUAAACUUAAAGUAAAAUAUCGAUUAAAUAGGAAGAAAGGUCCCAGAUGACAGUAGCAUGUGCUGGGGGGUGUUGCACUAUGAAGAAUGACAAAAUGUGGCCAUCCUCUCAGCAGGGCGGGAGAGUUAGCUAGAUGGAGACUGGAAAAUGACUAAAAUGGUACCAUCAUCGGACAUGAUUCUGUCCUACCUGGGAACAUGCAUGUUUCCAAAAUUUUCCUUAUGCUUAGAAGGUCAUACCUUUUAUUUGUGUCCGCUUAAACAUGUUGACAUGAGCAUUAAAUGCAGGUACUUUAAUUAGGAAACAUUGAUAAGGCAGAACAGCAUAGGUUAAGGGGAAGUGAUGCGGUGAGUAAAGUUAGAGUCCAUAUCAAGAGUUAUGCUUUCCAUCAUACCUUCUCAAAUCUUUCAGGAAUAAUGGUCAAUUCUCCCUUUUCAACUGCAAGAAGAGCCUUUUCAGCUAAAGGCUGCAUUGUUACAAACCACUGCUUGCUUACUAGUGGCUUUAUUACCUAAUAAAAGAACCAUAAAAUGGGAAAAUAAGAGAAAGAAUUACUGAGAGAAUAAUAAUCGACACUGUAACUUCAAAAACAAAAAGAAUAUAACUGAAAGAUAACAUGCACACCUCUCCGCCACACUGAGAUCUCGGUACUCUUAAACUGUGGGGUUCCUUUUUCACAGCUAAGUCAGUCUCCUCAAGAUCAGACCACGAUUUCUUCCGUGCCUCAAACCGAUCAAGGCCACUAAAAUUUAAGAGCCACCACCAUAAGUACGAAAAAAGAAAAGAUGAACAGGAAACUUUAAUUUAGCAUUUGUUCAGAAAGUCCACAAAUAUUAUCAGUACAGUCCAGCAACCUCAUUUAAUGACCCGUCCUUUUUCAUAACAUUAAGAAUAGGAAGGCCAAGCUUUCUAGCCAGAACAUAAUCAUUAUGAUCGUGUCCAGGGCUUAUCUUCAGUACACCAGUCUUUAUCAACAUACUGCCACCAUUGACAUAACAAAGAAAGCAGAAGUGAGAUUGUCAACCUGAAAUUUCUUAAUUUAAUGGACACAGUUCAAACAUUUACCACCUCAACUAACCCCAUUAAGCAGGUCAAGCAAACCAUUUGUUUUCUAAUGGCGAAGCCUCAAGCCUAGACCCUAGACCCUAGACCCUAAACCCUUUUUCUCUAUAUUAACCCAACUCUUCAUUUUGCCUAAAUAACUAUCGUGUCUGAAUUCAUCUCCAUAACAUGCUCAGACAUGGGCAUCGAGAUAUAGUCCUCCAAAAGUCCUCCAAAUACAUGCGAUCCUAGAAAAAACUGAAAAUACUGAGGUCAGAUGCCUAUGUCCAAUACUUAAACCGAAGUCCGAGUAACAUAACCUUUCAUGUAUUUGGAGGGUCAUAUGCUAUACCCACGUCCGGGAAUGUGUUGAACAUGGAUACUUUAAGAAAAAUGAAAAUUAAAGCAACACAGGAUGAUAGUUUUUAAUUUGCUUUAUUCAGUUUGGUCAAUUCCACAGGCUGCUAGACUAGUCACCAUAUUCUGCAGAAAGCAUUAUCAGCAUAACCCUAUUGUCAAACGAAUUCCCUGAUAAGCAGAACCAUGUUUAACCUUGAAUGUACAUUUAACAGAAUUUUAACAAUUUAUACAAAGGCACAAUUGCUUAAACAAUUUCACUAGAAAUGAAGUAUGUGGUCUUAGUUGAACAGGCAUUACAUCCAUAAAAGAAAUAUGAGUAACACGUUAAACUGGCAUCUAAAAUCCCCAUUUAUCUCAAGUUUUAGGGCAUUAAAGAAUGAAUUUAAGCCAUGGGAGGGUGCAUAACAACAUAAAGCAUUAACAAGGAAUCUGCAGAAUUCAACUUUAGUUUCACAAAAAUUGCCAUCAGCUCAUAAAUUCUCUUCAACUCCGUGUAUGCCAAGCUGAUCCUUAUGAAUGAAAAUACUAUUAAUUUAAUAGCAUUGGGGCUUGAAGAUAUCCGCUUUUGAAUUCCACUGCAAGGUAAUCCAAAAAUAUUUUAAAAGCAGCAUUUAGAAUCAAAUAGUUUCCCUUCACAAUAAGUUUAACCAGAGAUCUGUCAUAGCAGUAUAAUUAGCAUUUAAUUUGGAUAAUUUAAACAUGAAGAUCAAUCCAACAUACAGAAUGAGAAAGAGAACAUUUAUCACAAAAGAAAGUUAUUUUGAUUCAUCGGAGUAAGUAAAAUCCUUAAUCAACUAAUCAUGCAUGGCUCAACCAUCUAGAAUUAAUCUAAAAUUAAAAUGUGUAACUCUCGUAUCUAAAAAAUGAACAUCAAUACUAGGGGAUUGAUACGUGAAAUUGAAAAAAAAUACAUGAAAAGGAAAACACACAGUUAAAGUAAAUAUUCAUACCUGAAAUGACUCUCCCAAGAAGCAGGGGAUUUCAGCAUCACAACAAACAGAACCGGCAGAGAAAAACUUAUGGGUUUCUCCCUCUCACGAAAGCUAUCUUCCUGCUGUAGAGUGUUUGUGUGUGUGUUUUGCCUAUGGUUACACAAAGUUAUAAAAGAAUGACAGAAAAAAAAAAGAACAGAGAGCAGAAGGGAAUCCGCGAAGUACGAGAAAGGAGGAAGAGAGAAUAAUGAAAACAAAAAGGAAAGAAGGAAUGGAUGGAAUGAAGCAUGAUUUGAGUAUUUUAAAUUUGGGAAGGCAGUGGGAUGCGAAAAGGCUGAAGAAAACAGGCAGAGGGGCAGUCACUGCCCAUAAAAUAAAGAUUCUUAAAAUCUCCCGCAACGGUAACAUAAUAUUAUUUAAUACACUCAUUUAAUGAAGAAGCAGCUGAGCAGUUCACCAAUCCAAUUAAUCCAUUCAAAACUUCAUUUAAUACAAAUAGAAACUAAAUAAGAAUAAAAACAAAAACAAAAGUAAAGAAGAAACCGUUCAGCGAAGCAUAGAAAUCCAACCCAAGUUUACUUCUUUAUUGGGCUCAAUCAGUUUUAGGCCAUACACCCAGUAAUCCAAAACCUAAGAGAUCCAAAGCCCAGAAUACUGAAACAAAAGCCCAAAAACACCGCCCAACCCUAAACCCAGGCCUCAAGCCUCAAACCCCUAGACCCCAAGCUGGGAUAUCACCUAGAAUGGGAUAUCCCAAGCCGGAUUGGGAUAUCCCUGACUGGAAUAACAACGUCAGGUAGCCCGGUCUAGACACGUUCAAAAUCUGAACCGGAUACCAAAACAACUGAACCGUGCACAAAAAAUACUGAACUGGGACGGGAUAUGAUUGGGAUAAUCUUGGAAUAGCUUAUCCCGAAACGGGAUAUGACGGGGAUAUCCCCAGAGCAGAAUGAGAAUGAAAAUAAAUUCAGUGCUUAUUUAAAAAAUUUGAAUCGUAUUACUCUCUAUUUCAAGUAAUUAAAACGUUGAAAUUUUGGAACAUUGCAAUAAUUGUUCUUUUUAUUAUAAACUCUAAAUAAUUGUUCUCUAAUUAUCGAUCAUUGCAAUUUUUGUACAAAAUAUAAAUAAAUAAAUAAAUCUUAUGAAAUUUAUCAUCUUCUAAAAAUAUGAAACUUUAAAAGAAAACUGACUGUGAGAUCAAAAAAGCAAAUAUACUGCGAAAGAAAACAACACAUAUUUAACAUCUUCUAAUGCAACACAAUAACCACUCGUUCUGGUGAACAUUGAGAGAAGAUUAGACUUGCCUACUCCCGAAAAAACGAUCAACACCACCUUGACAAGUAGUAAUCCUCUGCCCUGUACCCAGCCAUUUUACUUUCUUUCGAGUGAUGAAUAAAUAUAUCUGAAACAAAAAACAGGGAUGAAAUGACAAAGACAAAGGAUUUAUAAAACAGAAAACAAAAAAUCAUAAAGAAAUCCACUGAAAUGCAUGUAAUAAAGAAUAGAUCUGAAACUAAAACGAAAUGAAAAUGCAAAGACAAAGACAAAGUAGAAGUAAUGAUUCAUGCAAAGCAAAAAAAAAAAAAAGAGAAAAAAAAUUCAAAAGAGACCGAGAGAGAGACAGAGAAUCACCGAACAAAUGGAGGCACCAAUGGAUUUUGAUCGGAGGUAAGAAUCUGAAAGGUGUGGAGGCCGCGGCAGGGCCUAGGGUUUCUUAUGAACGGACAAUAAAGGAGGAAGAGAGAAGAAGGAAAACAGAAGAGAGAAUGAACGCGAUGCAUAAAGAAAUAUCAGAAAAAAAGAAAAAGAAAAAAAAAAGGAGAGAAUAAAGGGGAAGAGAAAUCUGAGAGAGAUGCAUAAAGAAAUAUAGAGUUUUUUUGGAAAAAUAGUAAACAGAUUAAUUCUUUUUGGAAAAUGGGAAAGAACGCGAUGUGAAAAGAUAGCAGAGAAAACGGGCAGCCUGACUACAAAUCCCACGGCUUCUUUUCAUUUAUUAAACCUGUUCUUUUUUAAAACAGCUUCUAAAGAUAUCAAAAGGAUCUAAAAUAUUAACCUCCAUUUUAGGACUUAAGGGUAAAAAGCUUAUAAAAACGCUCUUAAAUUUAGUUAAGCAAAUAUUUUUCGUAACUAAAAAACCAAAGAGGCUGCUUGGUUAGGAUUAUUGGUAUGAUGAGGAGAAGCCCCACGAGCAGUUGCUACAGAAGUUUGGCUAAUAAAAUAAAAAAGCUCACGUAAAAUCUUUACCAGAAGUGAUAGCUUUAAAGCUUUCAGCCAAUGGAAGCAAAAUUCAAAGCUAAUUAAAAUUUUUUUCAGUGCAACAGUGAGUACUGAUAUUUCUUUGUUACGAAAGAAAUAAAAUAAUAAGGAUUUUUCAUUAAGGCAGCAAUAAACAGCAAACAUCACAUACAUCAACUUCAAAACAUCGUACCAAACAAUCCCCUAGCUGCUAAUCCACACACCCUCGAGAGCUUCAAUACAGUUGCAUACAAUAUAUUUACCUGAUUCAAACCACCUAAUCAAGCUUUAUUACAUACAAUAUCUCUACCUGAUUCAGCUCACCUAAUCAAGCUUUGUACAUUAGGUCUCUAAUUUUAGUUGCGCAUCUGCGGACAUAUUCCUGAUUUUGCUAAUGCCAACAACAUUUUCAUUUGUUCAAUUUGGAAUUGAUCUUCCAAAGUUUCAGCUAGCAUUCCUGAAAGCUACUUAAACUCUAAUCUAUCAAUGAGUGGCCUUCACCAGUUUUCAUCAUCAAAAUUAUCUAAAAUUUUAAACGUGGUCCACUUAACUUCUCUUGGAAGUGAUAACCUGUUUCCAUUAACAAUUAU